UAGCGCUGUUUUGUGUUAGCAUGUUAGCAUGCAAAAUUCAUGAGAACGUUUCGCCAAAACAAAGUUGUUUUUUUGCAAAACAUUGCUGGAUUUUCCAUAAAAUUUGAACAUUAGAACUAUUCUCACAUAAUGUUGCGUUAACUCAACGCUAAAAUAUUAACAUGUACACAUGACUUUCGACUCGCGUUGUUAUGUUAACUUCAAGCUAGCUUGAUAGCGAAAUAGUAAAAUUUUGACGUUACGAUUUUUGACGCAUAUUGUUAACUUCUAAAGUGUUUGCAUGCAAAAUUUGGACAACCAGGAAACCUGUGCACUACAAACUUUUUCACAUGUCGUCGAUAAAAAAGAUUAUUUCUACAAAUGUUGCUAUUAAUACAAACUCUUUUUGUUGGAAUAAACAUGCUACGCUGUAUUGUGCGCAACAUUAUAAGUAGGGACAGUUUUGAUUUUAUGUUGACAAAGGUGCUAAAACUUCACCUUCUUACUUACUUUAAGUCAUAAUACUGUACAAAAUUUGUGAUUCAACAUACAGACGUGUCGCUUUGUCAGCGCUAGGAAGUGGGAUUAUUUCCUCUCUCUCUUCCUGUCUCUCCUUGAUUUUCUGCCGCUCUCUUUCGACGUCUCGCUCGCUCUUUGUACUCGUCGAGAGCCGAAGAUCAAAGACUAGCGCCGUGAAGCUCCCAGGCCUAAAUUAGAUUCAUGCUUCCUUGAAAGAACAGAGAAAUUGGUAGGAUGAAAACUGAAGGUCAAUGUCAGCUCGCUCUCAACAAAAUGCCGCCUCCACGCGAGCGGGAUUAGGUCUCGACGCCGGGGCUCCGGAGAGCAGGGGAACGAGGAGCGAGCGGAGAACGGGCAUCAGGUGGAGAGGGGCUCUUAUCAUCCGCAGCCACAUCUGAACUGGUUCCACCUCAGAAACGUGCUUGAAGACACAUAUUAGACACGGCAGAACAGCAAUAGCUGAUGGGUAACACCACACAACGCUGAACUGAACAUUCGCUCGUUUGGCGGAUGCUCUUACCCUGCAUCUGUGGUACGUGUUUCCAGCUGCAUCUCGCCCAUCUCUGGUUGCUCGGGACUCUGCAGCGCUAGCUCCGGGACGACGAUGGCUGUCCGCCAGCAGGAGACUGCAGGGGAUCUUGGCUGGCAGAGCUGCUUGUAAUCGCCGCUGAUGGGCCCUUAUUAGCCAUGCUUGUCUGCGGACGUCACCCGGGAGACCGUGUGGAAAGGGACAGGGACACAUCUGCUUAUCCGAACCACAAUCAUCUCACAUGACUGCAGGCCAGUGGCAAACGCCAAACCCGCUGCCCAGAAGCAUCAGCUAAAUCCAGCCUGCCAUAUUAACUGGCCGAGAGGACAAGCGAAGCACUUAAUCUGCCAUCCUGAAUCGCGUGCAGACGAGUGGAUGGGUACCAGACUCCUGCCUGGAGCACAUGAGGGCGGAACGGGGCGUUCCCGGUGUCCGGCGGCGGUCGAUACUCACGCCAGGAGGACUGAAGGGUGACGCCGCAGGCCAUCCAGCAUUAUGUGUGAAUGUUUGCAGCUGACCCACACAAACCGCCGCGGAUCUUCGAGCUGUAGGUGGACUGAUCUUCUGUGAGGACAUGGUGUUAAACAGGAGUGCGAUGAAGCGUGACGGCUGCCAAGAGAUGUCUGGAUCUCUGCUUUGUGCGCCUUAAGUAUAAAUGUGUCUCCCUGUAGAAGAACAUGAUCUGGGAAUGAUGCACUGUACAACUGAAUGCUUAUUAGGGUAAAUUUGUGCAUUAUAUACAAUCACACCAAUUCACACCAAAUAAUAUUUUAAGCCUAA